rnacentral:tRNA from 1 species
UCCCUGGUGGUCCAGUGGCUAAGACUCUGUUCUCCCAAGGCAGACAGCCCGGGUUCAAUCCCUGGUCAGGGAA